UACGAAGGGGCUAGCGUUGCUCGGAAUUACUGGGCGUAAAGGGAGCGUAGGCGGAUAGUUUAGUCAGAGGUGAAAGCCCAGGGCUCAACCUUGGAAUUGCCUUUGAUACUGGCUAUCUUGAGUACGGAAGAGGUAUGUGGAACUCCGAGUGUAGAGGUGAAAUUCGUAAGAUAUUCGGAAGAACACCAGUGGCGAAGGCGACAUACUGGUCCGUUACUGACGCUGAGGCUCGAAAGCGUGGGGAGCAACAGG
rnacentral:rRNA from 1 species